rnacentral:rRNA from 1 species
GACGUAGGGCGCGAGCGUUGUCCGGAUUUAUUGGGCGUAAAGAGCUCGUAGGCGGCUUGUCGCGUCGACUGUGAAAACUCGGGGCUCAACUCCGAGCUUGCAGUCGAUACGGGCAGGCUAGAGUUCGGUAGGGGAGACUGGAAUUCCUGGUGUAGCGGUGAAAUGCGCAGAUAUCAGGAGGAACACCGGUGGCGAAGGCAGGUCUCUGGGCCACUACUGACGCUGAGAAGCGAAAGCAUGGGGAGCGAACAGG